rnacentral:misc_RNA from 1 species
GUUAGUUUUCCAGACAGAGUACCAGUUUUAACCAUUUCCGUUGAGCAUCUAGGUGUAGUGACAAUUGUGUUAGUCUGAACAACUGGAACAUGUACUGGGGGAUCAUCACUUGCACAGCCUUCCCAAAACUCCAUUGAGGUAUUUAGAUCCCAAUUUUCCCUAUUUGACUGCUGAAGAGAACCAUCAUAGUCAGACCCAACAUUACCAGCGAGACACUGGGUCUCCCUUCCUUGCUU